GAUCCUGUGACACAGUUGGUAGAUCAUUGCACUAACAAUGCAAAGGUCCUGGGUUCAAAUCACAAACUGACA